rnacentral:tRNA from 1 species
UCUCUGUUAGUAUAUCGGUUAGUACACGCGCCUGUCAUCGCUACCCGAUCGCGCGAAAGCGGGGUUCGACUCCCCGACAGAGAG